rnacentral:rRNA from 1 species
ACGCUCGACACCUACGGGAGGCAGCAGUCGGGAAUAUUGCGCAAUGGAGGAAACUCUGACGCAGUGACGCCGCGUAUGGGAAGAAGGUUUUCGGAUUGUAAACCAUUUUAGACAAGGAAGAAACAAGACAGUACUUGUAGAAUAAGCUCCGGCUAACUACGUGCCACAGCCGCGGUAAUCUGAGCGGGCUGGCAAGGC